rnacentral:rRNA from 1 species
AAUGAACGCUGGCGGCGUGCUUAACACAUGCAAGUCGAACGAGAAAGGGAUUGCUUGCAAUCCUGAGUAGAGUGGCGCACGGGUGAGUAACACGUAGAUAAUCUACCUUCAAGCUUGGAAUAACUAUUCGAAAGGGUAGCUAAUACCAAAUGAAGUAAAUUAGCAAAAGUUGAUUUAUGAAAGUUUGCCUCUAUUUAUAAGCAAACACUUGGAGAUGAGUCUGCGGACCAUUAGUUUGUUGGUGAGGUAAAGGCCUACCAAGACUGCGAUGGUUAGCUGGUCUGAGAGGAUGAUCAGUCACACUGGAACUGGAACACGGUCCAG